rnacentral:rRNA from 1 species
GACGAACGCUGGCGGCGUGCCUAAUACAUGCAAGUCGAGCGGACUUUCAAGAAGCUUGCUUUUUGAAAGUUAGCGGCGGACGGGUGAGAAACACGUGGGCAACCUGCCUGUAAGACGGGGAUAACUCCGGGAAACCGGGGCUAAUACCGGAUAAUAUCUUUCUUCGCAUGAAGGAAGGUUGAAAGGCGGCGCAAGCUGCCGCUUGCAGAUGGGCCCGCGGCGCAUUGGCUAGUUGGUGAGGUAACGGCUCACCAAGGCGACGAUGCGUAGCCGACCUGAGAGGGUGAUCGGCCACACUGGGACUGAGACACGGCCCAGACUCCUACGGGAGGCAGCAGUAGGGAAUCUUCCGCAAUGGACGAAAGUCUGACGGAGCAACGCCGCGUGAGCGAAGAAGGUCUUCGGAUCGUAAAGCUCUGUUGUCAGGGAAGAACAAGUACCGUUCGAAUAGGGCGGUACCUUGACGGUACCUGACCAGAAAGCCACGGCUAACUACGUGCCAGCCGCCGCGGUAA